rnacentral:rRNA from 1 species
GCCGCCGCGGUAAUACGGAAGGUCCGGGCGUUAUCCGGAUUUAUUGGGUUUAAAGGGAGCGUAGGCCGUUUUUUAAGCGUGUUGUGAAAUGCCGCGGCUCAACCGUGGCACUGCAGCGCGAACUGGAUGACUUGAGUGCGCGGGAGGUAGGCGGAAUUCGUGGUGUAGCGGUGAAAUGCUUAGAUAUCACGAAGAACUCCGAUUGCGAAGGCAGCUUACCGUAGCGUUACUGACGCUGAAGCUCGAAAGUGCGGGUAUCGAACAGGAUUAGAUACCCC